AGGCACUGGAGACAAAGAUCAGCCACGUGGCAGUCAACCAUGUCUAUCUGACCAAGUUCCAAUGAAAACUCUGGACACCAAGGCUUGGGUGAGCUUCCGCAGUUGUACAUGUAUUGAUUGAUACACUUGGAGAUAUUUCUCAAAAGACUCCUCUGCGGGAGAGGAGAAUAGAGAAAGAAAGAAAACAACUGUGUAAGCAGACAUCAGUGUAAACCUUAGCACUGUCUCUUGAUGAGAUAAGAGGAGGAUGGCAGUGACAGGAGUGUGGUGGCGAGCCAGUCACCUGCAGUCAACCACGGCUCAUUGCUCUCACCAUGCCUGUUACAUGAAGGUAUGUAUGUAUAGGAAAAAGCACUGAAAAACUCUCCAGUUUCAGGCAUCCACUGGGGAUCUUGGAACG
rnacentral:lncRNA from 1 species